rnacentral:tRNA from 1 species
GGGAAGGUGGGCUAAAAGGAAAGCCGCUUUGUUGGGAACAAAGAGAUGCAGGUUCGAUUCCUGCUCUUUCCG